CUGAACAAUGAGGCAUUAAUUCUUUUUUUUCACUAAAUCAUUUUUCUCCUGCCAGCUAUAUUAUCAUAGCUUAUGCUUGUUUGUGAAUUUAAUGAACACAAAAGCAUUAUCAAGAGAUGAGCAACAGUUACCAAGGAACAAGAGCAAGAGGUCAACACUUAAUGUGGACUAACCGACUCAAACCUCGUAGGACUAGGAUGCAUUUGAUAUGCCUGACUUCUCUGCAGCAAACAGUUUGCAGUGAGCAAUACAGCACAGACCUUCUACCAGCAGGGACUAGCCACAACUGAGGAGCUUCAAAGACAAC
ensembl:lncRNA